rnacentral:lncRNA from 10 species
UUUUUUGGCGUUGUUAUUUUACUUACGAUUUCCAGUGUUAUAAACACAGGAAAACAACAGUUCCAUCAUUGCAGGGGCACCAUUCACUGUAUGCAGUGCAGUGGUUCUGGAAAACAGUCUCCUGCACUGGGGGAAGGAGGGAUACAGCUCUUUUGGAGAGUAUUUUGGCAUGAUGGAUACAAAACUUUUAAAGCUUAUAUUCUUUGACUUAGCCAAAGUAAGUUAAGUCAAAAAUUAGAGAUGCACAUAUAGAUUUUAAGUACAAAGAAUAUUGUUAUAGCAUUAUUUAUAAUAGAAAAUAGUUGGAAACACCUACAUAUCCCUAAAAACAUGAUGGUCUUCUCAUAAGAUAAAAAUGUGAAAGGAAAAUAAAUCUCAGAACCUGUCUCAGAUACUUUUGGGUUCACAAAAGUUAUGUUUUUGAAGAAUUUUUAAGAAUAUGGGAAAAUAAUUAUUUUAUAAUUAAAAACACAUACACACUAAACUGUUCCCAGAUAGAAUAGGGUCCAUCUGCUUGUUCUUGCAGCCCAAUAACAAGAUGCAGACAGACUGGGAAAGAAAGGAGCUUAUUUUUGCAACCAGUUACAGGGAAAAGGUUGUAGCAACUCACCAGACCAACUGAAAGUUACAAUUUGGUUUUUUGUUUUGUUUUGUUUUGUUUUGUUUUGUUUUCUUUAGCACUUAUAUGCAUUCUAAGCUCCAUGCUACAUGGGAGAGUGCAUCUACAAGUGAGAGUGUUUCAUUCAGUCUGUACAAUCUAACUACCGUCUGGGGUCUGUAAAGCUUUCUCUAAAGUCUUGGAAAGUUUUUUAAUCUUAAGUGGGCCCUGGUACAAAGAGUAUGUGUAAGAAUGCUUUCAUUAUUUGAUCAGACUUUAGGAUCUGGGAAAACUCAGGCAGGGUCUUAAUGGAUUAAGAAACUUUCCAAGACUCUCGAGAAAGCUUUCCAGACCCUAGUCCCUAGCUAAAGAUGAGAUAGAGAUUGAAUGCAACACUCCCACUUGCAGUUACAAUCCCACACGUAGCACGGAGCUUUAAAUAUAUA